ensembl:lncRNA
AUACAAGUCACACAGCCCAAAGCACAUGGAAGUCAGAGGUUGUUCUUGGCUUCGGGCUUUCAGUUCCAGAAGAAACUUGCAGAUGUGUUAUGGGUUGUAUAUGUGCUGCCCACUGCUAUGGGAUCUGAGCUCCUUCUGCAUAAAGCUGACAGCAGGCCACAUAACUUCCCAGCAGAGGCAGCUGGUACCAAGAAGCUUUGGCCUAUAAAAGGAAGCAGGGCCACAGAGGAGGAUGGCAGCAGACAGCAGAGCUUUUGGACAGCAUCCCAGGACCCUCGUGCUCACCCUAAGAGGAGAAGGGGUAUGAACUCUUCGGUGACCCUGUGCCUGUGAUGAAACCCAAAACCUGUCAAGUUUCAUGUGGUCUCCAAUUUCCUCACGGAAGUUUCAAAGUGCUCGUGUUACAUUACCUUGUUUUCAGAAGUACUUUUCGUGAAACUUCACAAAUUCUGCUCCUUAAUCCCCUUUAAAUGAGGCUCUUGUGACUUCUAAGAUCUCCCUGAAAGCUUUGCUAUUUCUGUUAUUAUUGCUGGCACACGGGAGGCUCAUUACUACCCAGAGCUGCUGGAAUAGGUUUCAGGGUGAGAGGGGGCAUGAAGGAAGCUCUUAGGCUGUCUCUCAUCACUCCAGUAUGCAGGAGCUGUCACAGAACAGCAGCUGAAAGCUGCAUGACCCUUCUGCAAAAAUAACCCAGCCAACGGAAGCUGAGAAAUGAAGGGGUAGGAACCAGAUAUUGAGAAAGAAAAAAAAAAAAAAAAGAGAGAUUUUUUCUUUUGUCAAAUAGAGCAAACUGCACCAUUUUGGUCAGAGUCACAUCUGGAAUAGCAAUUUCCAGCAAAAGAUAAGAUAAAGGGGGGUUGGCAGGAUGGGGAAUCCUGCAGGCAGGAGAGGGGUAGUAGUGCAGAGAGGUACCAACUCAGGGUCCUUUUGAUUAGAACUUGCUUCUAUCAGCAACACAGAUUUUGUGUAUGCUCAAACCAUGGAAGUAAUCAAGUCGUAUGUUGGCCAGGAUGAAAGGCUCUGUGCUGCACAAUGCCAUUACCUCUGUAUUUAUGUGGGAGUGGAGAGCAAAGAAAAAAUGUAAUGAGAAAGUCUGGUUUCAUUUACGUGUUGUUUAUAUUCAGAGUGAAGAAUUCCCAGCCCACACACACUCUUCCCAGACACUGGAGCUAAAGAGUCAAGAUUAAGAGGAAGAGAUGAAAGGAAAACAUUACAGUGCUGUGUGCUAGUAAGAGAGGUCUUGGUGGUGAAGCACAAGAAAUCAGUCACAAAACUGAAUCCAGUCCAAUGACUCUCUCGGGCUUCUUGGAGGGCUCUGGCCAAGUUGCCAAGGCCAUAAAUUCCCAGCUGAAUUUGCCUAAGUGUUAAAAUAUAAACAUCAUUUAAGUACAUGGCAACAUUUUUUGAGGUGCUAAGCUCCUGAAAAUACUGGAGAAGGCAAGGGUGUUAAUGUUCCUCUGGCAAGCAGAGCACAUAGCUGAGUGCCCAGUCUGAGCGUUUUAAAGGGAUGGGGUUUACCCUCUCAAUUUCAUUUGCCUGAAUGAAAGCAAAUUUGCACCAGCGUAUGUUUGGAGAACAUGAAGGUAGAUUUUACAUGUUGAAGUGGAGAAAAUAUUGUCCUCAUGUAAUGUCCCUGAUAAAAUUAUUUUAAUACUCUUCUGCUGAAGGAGAGAAACCUUCACAGAGGUGAGCAUACAGCUCAGUAUCAGCUAGCCACUGGUCACCAAGUAAUGCUGUUCCUCUUCUACCGAUCAUUAGCUGUUUAUUACAAAUCAAAAUACUUAACCACUUCCAAAAUUUGAGAGACUGUACUUGGAACACACACCUCAGCAGCCGGACACUGCAGUCCUGAAGGACCAUCCUGCACCCAGGGAGGCUGAACACCAACAGUUGUGCCCAUUUUCCCAUUAGCAGUGCCAGGAACCUGGCCCAUAGCCUCCCAAGAACAGCAUUUCAUAGAAUCAUAGAAUCAUAGAAUCGCUAAGGUUGGAAAAGACCCACAGGGUCAUCCAGUCCAACCAUUUGCUCUUCACCAAUGGUUCUCGCUAAACCAUGUCCCUCAACACAACAUCCAAACGCUCUUUGAACACCACCAGGCUCAGCGACUCCACCACCUCUCUGGGCAGCCCAUUCCAGUGCCUGACCACCCUUUCAGAGUAGUAUUUCUAGGAGCUGGUACUACAAAGCCACAGGUAUGAGUUGGGUAUGAGUGAGUUUGGCUACAAGAAGUCCUGUUAUUUUCAACCAACCAUUCAUAUUCUCCACGUGUUUAUGGAGUUCACCUAUGAGCUUUACCUAGGCAGCCUCUGGUAUGUAUCCUCCUUCUCAACUGUCCUUAUCUCUUGCAGUGCUUUAUCUCCAUGCAACAAGCACUUUCCCCUGCUGUAAAUAAAUAUGUGCUGUAAAUAGGUGCUGUAAAUAGGUGCUGUAAAUAUUGUGAUCAGGCUCUAUUUUACUGUUGAUCUGCACAGGUAUAAAUAGUUGUGCAAACUGCCAAGCAAGUGGAAUCAAGCUUGAUUGAUGCAAUGCAUUACUUAAAGCUCUUAGAUGUUAACUGUGGCUACAUCGUCCAGAGAAAGAGCCAUAGAAUGAAAUGGGGAUGAUAACAGAAAUUUAUCUUUGUGUGAAAAAACGUUUCUGAGGUUUCUUUUCAUUUUCCUUGACAGCUGUGAACUUGGGAGCCUGACAUCAUUAUCUCAUUAUCUUGCUACUCAGACCAGUUCUGAUCUGAAAUCUAGUCUUUCAGAGGCUCAAAAAUGAGCUUCAUUGGAUCAAAUGACUCUCAAGGUUCUCAAGCAAAGAAACUAACCUAGGUAACAAAAAGUGCACUACCUGGUGAAUGAGAAAGUCUUUCCUAACAGCCAGUGUGAACCUCUCAGGCCAAAAUUUAUAACCACUGCCUCUAGUUAGAUCAUUUGGUGCUGCUGAGAAGAGUCAGGGCUCAUCUGCUUUGAAAAUGCACUUCUACCAGUUUGGAG